AGGCAGGUUAUCUGGGCUG
rnacentral:miRNA from 1 species